AUUGAACGCUGGCGGCAGGCCUAACACAUGCAAGUCGAACGAGUGGCGGACGUGUGUGUAAUGUCUGGGACACUGCCCGAUGGAGGGGGAUAACUACUGGAAACGAUAUAUAAUACCGCAUACCAUCAGAUGUGCCCAGAGGGGUUUAGCUUGUAGGUGGGGUAACGGCUCAUCUAGGCGACGAUCCCUAGCUGGUCUGAGAGGAUGACCAGCCACACUGGAACUGAGACACGGCCCAGACUCCUACGGGAGGCAGCAGUGGGGAAGAUUGCACAAUGGGCGCAAGCCUGAUGCAGCCAUGCCGCGUGUGUGAAGAAGGCCUUCGGGUUGUAAAGCACUUUCAGCGGGGAGGCGUUACCCGCAGAAGAAGCACCGGCUAACUCCGUGCCAGCAGCCGCGGUAAUAC
rnacentral:rRNA from 1 species